rnacentral:rRNA from 1 species
CCUUACCUACUCUUGACAUCCAGAGAAGCCAGCGAAGACGCAGGUGUGCCUUCGGGAGCUCUGAGACAGGUGCUGCAUGGCUGUCGUCAGCUCGUGUUGUGAAAUGUUGGGUUAAGUCCCGCAACGAGCGCAACCCUUAUCCUUGUUUGCCAGCGAGUAAUGUCGGGAACUCCAGGGAGACUGCCGGUGAUAAACCGGAGGAAGGUGGGGACGACGUCAAGUCAUCAUGGCCCUUACGAGUAGGGCUACACACGUGCUACAAUGGCGCAUACAGAGGGCAGCCAACUUGCGAAAGUGAGCGAAUCCCAAAAAGUGCGUCGUAGUCCGGAUUGGAGUCUGCAACUCGACUCCAUGAAGUCGGAAUCGCUAGUAAUCGUAGAUCAGAAUGCUACGGUGAAUACGUUCCC